ACAUUUUUCAUUUCAUCCGUGCCUUGCACUCUACUUUUUAUUUAUCUAUUUAUUUACAGGAAUUUCCCGAGAAGUCAACAUUCCGUCUGCAUAAUUUGGAAAAGAAGUACGACACAAUGUCUUUAGCCGAGUUGAUGGCUUUGGAAGGAUUCAGCGAGAAUAUCGACUGGCACAAACUCGUAUCCGAUCUGCUGGGAAUCAGCGCCGACCCCAAGACCAUUAAGUUGCAGGUCUACUUCAAAGACAGGCUGCAGAGAAUCAUCGAGCACGUUAACGAAAAUAUUUACGACGCAUCCAACAUUCAUGCCAUGUUCAUGAUGCUGUGGAGUGAACAGCUGUACAACGACUUCGUCGACCCCCUCGGGGUUGCCAUGGGCUCUCCCGACUACUGCCUCCGCAUCGUCAAGAAUCUCAUGCACGACUUCUCGUCUUACCUCUACCUGGAGGCCUUGGGACCCAGCCUCGACGAGUAUCAGCAACAGAUCAACACGAUGGUCCGACUGACGAAGAAGACGGCCGAAGAGCAACUCCUUCGAGCGCAUCCUUCCUCGGCCAGCAACUUGCUCGUCGAGAAGCUGCGCAAAAUGACCGGCGAGACGAUGGACCUCCAGACCUCAAAAAACAUCCUGGCACAGAGCAUGAUGGGGGUGAAUAGUACUGGGAACUUCAUUGAAGACUGCCGGACACUCCUGCUGCGGUACAGAUCUUACUUAUACAGUAUGUAUACAAGAGGUCCCUCCAAUCCGGAAGUUAUGUGGAAUCAGUUCCUUCUACCUUACAAAAGUUACGGUACCUACGUCUACGCCAUGAACAAAUUCUUGAUCCCGUACGGUGCCAUGACGCCGCCGCUCUUCUAUGGCGACGACGUCCCCAAUUACAUCAACUUCGCUGGCAUUGGGCACAUGAUCGCUCACGAGCUCAUGCACAGCUUUGACGGCACAGGUAUCUACUACGACGGUGAAAAAAGGAACCAGGAUAAGAUCCCUGAGAGUCACCUUUAUGUACCUCAUACUGAGUGUCUGUCAGAAAAACUCAUUUAUCCCCAAGUUGUUAAUACAACAGCAGACCUUGACACAAACUUCACGCUGCCGCACCGCCUGGCCCUCAACGAACUUCUUUCGGACUCGGCGGCCACCAGACUGGCUUGGGAAACCUACAUCUCCUUACUCACAGACGCUGCCGCUCCAACAUCGUCGCCAAGCACACCUCUCACAGGUGGCCGGGGUGGAGGCAGCCAGACCAGCCGCCGGCGACGGUCCCUGGACUGGUAUCCCCGGGGGCUCGGGCCAAACGCCAGGCCUUGAUGCCGCCUCCGGCACCUCCUAAGCCCUUGCCUUCGACCAACACUUCGGAGCCAAAGCUGCCUUUCCUGGACCUGACACCCAUUCAACUCUACUUCCUCCGCACAGCACAGACACAGUGCAGCGCCACCAGUGACAUCAUGUUUAACGUCAAAGAGGAUGAGCACCUGCCGUCUCGCCUCAGAGUGAACAUGGUGCUGAUGAACGACCCGCUGUUCGCCGAGGCCUUCCAGUGCCAGGGGGUCGCCCAUGGUGGCCGAGGAGCAGUGCGACUUCUCCUUGGGGUAGAGCAGGGCGUCUCCAUCAGAGCUCUGUCUCUUUCCUCUCUCACUCUUUCUAUGCGCACGCAAUCUUAUACACUCAUACGCGCGGCACACACACACACACACACACACGCACACACACACACACACACACACACACACACACACACACACACACACACACACACACACACACACACACACACAACACACA